rnacentral:rRNA from 1 species
UACGGAGGAUGCAAGCGUUAUCCGGAUUCAUUGGGUUUAAAGGGUGCGUAGGCGGACUAUUAAGUCAGUGGUGAAAGCCUGCAGCUUAACUGCAGAACUGCCAUUGAUACUGAUAGUCUUGAGUUUGGUUAAGGUAGGCGGAAUGUGUAAUGUAGCGGUGAAAUGCUUAGAUAUUACACAGAACACCAAUUGCGUAGGCAGCUUACUGAGCCGACACUGACGCUGAGGCACGAAAGUGUGGGGAUCAAACA